rnacentral:rRNA from 1 species
UACGGGGGGAGCAAGCGUUGUUCGGAUUUACUGGGCGUAAAGGGCGCGUAGGCGGCCAGCGCAAGUCAGUUGUGAAAUCUCCGGGCUUAACUCGGAACGGUCAACUGAUACUGCGCGGCUAGAGUGCAGAAGGGGCAACUGGAAUUCUCGGUGUAGCGGUGAAAUGCGUAGAUAUCGAGAGGAACACCUGCGGCGAAGGCGGGUUGCUGGGCUGACACUGACGCUGAGACGCGAAAGCGUGGGGAGCAAACAGG